GCUUACCUGUCCCGAUGGUAUUCAUUAGCCAUGUUGCUUGUUUUCGUCUCACGCUCUCAUGGGGCGUGAAAUGAACUAGUUGGUGCCUCGCAUGUUCCUUUCUGAGCCAUCGGCUCUUGACUUGGCCCAUGCUCGGAAGCUGGUACUCUCGGAUGCUGAAAAUUAUGUGGGCAAAGGGCUCAAACCCCUUCAUCUCAAGCCCGGGCCUAGCGCUCGUCGCUCAAACCAAAAGACGUUGCUCCUCGCCUUGGCCUCACCGAACCAUCGGUUCUUGUGAUGGCCAUGCGUUGUGCUAUCGUCUCGAGGAAAGUUACCUGGUUGAUCC
rnacentral:misc_RNA from 1 species